rnacentral:rRNA from 1 species
AAGAGUGUAUAUUAAAGUUGUUGCAGUUAAAAAGCUCGUAGUUGGAUUUCGGAAGGUCCUUAGUAAUCCGCCCCUUCGGGGAGCGGGUUGCUGGCCUCCUAUGUUCCUAACGGUCCUCAUCCGCGAGGGUGGGGAAUCAACCGCUAGGAUCGUUUACUUUGAGGAAAUUAGAGUGUUCAAAGCAGGCGUAACUCGCCUCCGAAUACGUUAGCAUGGGAUAAUGGAAUACGACUUCGGUCUUGUUUCGUUGGUUUCGCUUGGCUGAAGUAAUGAUUGAUAGGGACAGUUGGGGGCAUUAGUAUUUAGUUGUCAGAGGUGAAAUUCUAGGAUUUACUAAAGACUGACCAAUGCGAAAGCAUUUGCCAAGGAUGUUUUCAUUAAUCAAGAACGAAAGUAGGGGGAUCGAAGACGAUCAGAUACCGUCGUAGUCUCUACCGUAAACUAUGCCGACCAGGGAUCCGGAGAGUUUGCAUGGAUGACUCCCCGGGCACCUUGUGAGAAAUCAUAAGUGUUUGGGUUUUGGGGGGAGUAUGGUCGCAAGGCUGAAACUUAAAGGAAUUGACGGAAGGGCACCACCAGGAGUGGAACCUGCGGCUUAAUUC